CCUCUAAUGCAGCCUCACACAGCGUGAGCCGGUCCCAAGCCCGGAAAAAUGCAGAGGGGAGG
rnacentral:ribozyme from 2 species